AUGCUUGAAUGGUGCCGGGGCAUCGUUGAUCACCGAGGACGAGCCCCCGGGGCGAGGUGCGGGCAUUGCACCGCGCUCGCGUUGACCCCUGCCACUACCUCAAACUGGGGCAGGUGGGGAAUGCAAAUUGCUUUAAC
rnacentral:snRNA from 1 species